GACGAACCGAGCAAACGUUAUUCGGAAUCACUGGGCUUAAAGGGCGCGUAGGCGGGCAUCCAAGUCUGUGGUGAAAUCCGGCAGCUUAACUGUCGAACUGCCGUGGAUACUGGGUGUCUCGAGGGAGGUAGGGGCGUGCGGAACUAUUGGUGGAGCGGUGAAAUGCGUUGAUAUCAAUAGGAACUCCGGUGGCGAAGGCGAUCACCUGGGGUUGUUCUGACGCUGAGGAGCGAAAGCUAGGGGAG
rnacentral:rRNA from 1 species